UCGUUUUAUGAUUAUUUAAUUGUAAUUAUGACGUUGUAUGUACUAAUGCAUCAUUUUUUUAUAAAACGAAAACUGAAAUUUAUCACCUUUUUUUUAAAUUAAACAAAUUUUUAUGAAUCAUCUGAUAUUUAUAUAUCUCUUUAUGGCUACAAAUAUUGUUUUUUAAACAAAACAAAAGCUAUAUACUAUUAUAAGAAUUAGGUACAAUUAGUCUCCAGUAAAUAUCUCCUAAAAUCACAAAUAGUUACUAACCACAAAUAAUCUAAUAUAUAAAAUUCUCGUGUCGCGGUGUUUGUAGUUAAAGUCCUCCGAAACGGCUAGACCGAUUCACACGAAAUUUUGUGUGCAUAUCGGGUAGGUCUGAUAAUCGAACAACAUCUAUUUUUCAUAUCCCUAAGUUAAAAGGG
rnacentral:misc_RNA from 1 species